rnacentral:rRNA from 1 species
AGCAGCCGCGGUAAUUCCAGCUCCAAUAGCGUAUAUUAAAGUUGUUGCAGUUAAAAAGCUCGUAGUUGAAUUUCGGGGUUAGUAGAUCGGUCGUGCCACUGGUAUGUACUGGUCUUACUGAUUCCUCCUUCCUGAUGAACCGUAAUGCCAUUAAUUUGGUGUUGCGGGGAGACUGGACUGUUACUUUGAAAAAUUAGAGUGUUUAAAGCAGGCUAACGCUUGAAUACAUUAGCAUGGAAUAAUGAAAUAGGACGUUCGAUCCUAUUUUGUUGGUUUCUAGGAUAGACGUAAUGAUUAAUAGGGAUAGUUGGGGGCAUUAGUAUUCAAUUGUCAGAGGUGAAAUUCUUGGAUUUAUUGAAGACUAACUACUGCGAAAGCAUUUGCCAAGGAUGUUUUCAUUAAUCAAGAACGAAAGUUAGGGGAUCGAAGACGAUCAGAUACCGUCGUAGUCUUAACCAUAAACUAUGCCGACUAGGGAUCGGAUGAUGUUAAUUUUUAAUGACUCAUUCGGCGCCUUACG